AUCCCAGUCUGAGUCCUCUGAGGAAGCAGAUGAGCACCCUGAGACAGUGCCAGAGACUGUGAGCAGUUUGGAUGAAGUCAGUCAGGAUUCAACCAAGAAGGAACAAGAUGUACUGGAGUGAGAAAACACAGCAGCACGUGGAUCCCAACGCUCACUCAUCACCCAGUGGCUGAGCUGUACUGAGCUUACUGACAAUAAAAGGGAACUAUCCACCUAUCGGUACAACCUCUCUGUCCUUUUUUGUUUCAUGUUACAUGCUGUGACAAAAUACUUCUGCAGUCUUUCAGAACUGCUUUUUGGUUCUUUUCCUAAGAUAAUAUAACAUUAUUUUACCACAUGAAACUGAAUUUGAGGGUAUGAAGUUGCAAUAUAUUUGCAGU